rnacentral:rRNA from 1 species
AUACGGAGGGUGCAAGCGUUGUUCGGAAUUACUGGGCGUAAAGCGCGUGCAGGCGGUAAGGUAAGUCAGAUGUGAAAGCCCCGGGCUCAACCCGGGAAGUGCAUUUGAUACUGCCUUUCUUGAGUAUGGGAGAGGAGAGUGGAAUUCCCAGCGUAGAGGUGAAAUUCGUAGAUAUGGGGAGGAACACCCGUGGCGAAGGCGACUCUCUGGACCAAUACUGACGCUGAGACGCGAAAGCGUGGGGAGCGAACAGGAUUAGAAACCCGAGUAGUCC